AUUUGACGUUACCUACAGAAGAAGCACCGGCUAACUCCGUGCCAGCAGCCGCGGUAAUACGGAGGGUGCGAGCGUUAAUCGGAAUUACUGGGCGUAAAGCGCAUGCAGGCGGCCUGUUAAGUCAGAUGUGAAAGCCCGGGGCUUAACCUCGGAAUUGCAUUUGAAACUGGCAGGCUAGAGUCUUGUAGAGGGGGGUAGGAAUUUCAGGUGUAGCGGUGAAAUGCGUAGAGAUCUGAAGGAAUACCAGUGGCGAAGGCGGCCCCCUGGACAAAGACUGACGCUCAGAUGCGAAAGCGUGGGGAGCAAACAGGAUUAGAUACCCUGGUAG
rnacentral:rRNA from 1 species